rnacentral:piRNA from 1 species
AGGCCUGUAGGUAAAGCUGAGGAGUAA